GUGGGGAAUAUUGGGCAAUGGGCGAAAGCCUGACCCAGCAACGCCGCGUGAGGGAAGAAGGCCUUAGGGUCGUAAACCUCUGUUGUGUGGGAAGAAGAGCGUGACGGUACCACACGAGGAAGUCCCGGCUAACUACGUGCCAGCAGCCGCGGUAAUACGUAGGGGACGAGCGUUGUCCGGAUUUACUGGGCGUAAAGGGCGCGUAGGCGGUCAUUUAAGUCAGCUGUGAAAUGGUUUGGCUUAACCGGAUCAUGCGGUUGAAACUGGAUGACUGGAGUGCUGGAGAGGCAAGUGGAAUUCCCAGUGUAGCGGUGAAAUGCGUAGAUAUUGGGAAGAACACCGGUGGCGAAGGCGACUUGCUGGCCAGCAACUGACGCUGAGGUUCGAAAGCGUGGGUAGCAAACAGGAUUAGAAACCCGGGUAGUCC
rnacentral:rRNA from 1 species